UUCUCCUUGUGGUGUUUUCCCCCGCACCUCUGGCCACCCUCCAGAAGGAUCCCUGUGUUGCCAGGCAGGAAUGGCUUGCUUGGGGAACCAGCCAGCUCCCAAGUCCUUCCCCUUUGCUUCUUCUACCCCUGUAUUUCGCUCAGCUCUCUAAAUUGACUCAGGUCCAGGGGGCUGAUCUGAAUGCACUACAACAGAGGAUUCACUAUCUCAUGGCUUCCUGUUAGUUUCAACCUAAGAGAUCCAAGGU
rnacentral:lncRNA from 1 species